rnacentral:lncRNA from 1 species
AUUAAAUCCACUUAAUAUGUGACCUACAAGAUGGUAGAGACCAAAUGGUUCAGUGGAUGUUGUAUGCUGGGUGCAGUGGUUGACCCACAGUGGGGGCUCUGGGAAUCUGCCUCCCCCGCUUUCUCUUGGUGAGUCCUCCUCUCUCCCAGUUGUGCCUGGUACACUCCCACUCAUCCUUAAGACACAACAUUGCAAUGAUAGACUAUUCUAGAAUCAACACAAAUCCCUCAUGAUUUUGUCCUUUGAGUUGCUCUUAUAGCUUCUGAUAAUUAAGAAAGGAAAGCAUUUGGUGUGGAAUAACUUGGAAAGAGAAAUCCUUAGACCUCUGUUGUCACUGCCCAGAAUGGUUAUUGAACACUUGAAUUGUGGCUGGUGGGACUGGGGAGCUGAAUUUCUGAUUUUAUUUUAUUCAAAUUUAAAACUAGUUAUUGGAAAAUGUCUCACGUGUCCGUAUGAAGAGAACACCAAACAGGCUUUGUGUGAGCAACAAGGCUGUUUAUUUCACCUGGGUGCAGGUGGGAUGAGUCAGAAAAGAGAGUCAGUAAAAGGUGGUUGGAUUAUCAUUAGUUCUUAUAGGUUUUGAGAUAGGCGCUGGAGUUUGGAGCAAUGUUUUGCUGGCAGGGGCUGGAUCUCACAAAGUACAUUCUCAAGGGUGGGGAGAAUGAUAAAGAACCUUCUUAAGGGUGGGGGAGAUUACAAAGUACAUUGAUCAGUUAGGGUGGGGCAGAAGCAAAUCUCAGAUUGAACAGUAAGAUGGUUAGAGGGAACAAUCCACAAGGUAAUGUAGAAGUGUGAGUAAUUCAGGAUAAAUUGUUUGGGACAGUUACUGAGUGAUACUCACUUUAGCCAUUGGAGAGAUCAAUUUGGUCUAGAAGUCUCAAAGGCUUCCUGGAGGAGGCGAGAAAGAUGAUAAACAGGAAAAGCCAAAAAAAAAAAAUACACAAAAACACCCAGCUCCUUCCAGGAUGAUAGUAAUAAUUUGGAUGAUCAAGCACAAGGGAGGAUCUGAGAGACUGAUACCUUGCUCUGGAUUCUUGUUAGAAAUAAUGACCUUGAGCUGACUUUUGAGCUCCAGGCCCACUGAGUGAGGCUUGAGGGGAAACGACUUUUAACAGGUAAACAUCUCUCUGAAGGGCUCCCAGGGUUUAAGCAGAGGACUCUGCCUACCAUAGUGUCCCCGGAUUGGGGUGUGAAUAUUGUUGGGGGGCCAUUGUUCAGACUACUGUAGUUAUAAUUUUAAUAUUAAAUUUGUUAUAUUCUUUGGCAAUCCAGCUUAAUAAAUGCCUUCUGUUAUCUCUUCUGAUAGCAGUGUUUGGUUUUUGUGCCCUUCCUGCUUCCUUAACUGGUUCUAAUAUAAAACUUUAAUUUGUUUUAUCACCAUUAACAAUUUGGACUUCAGCUUAACACAGGGAGUGAGGGAGAGGGCAAGAGCAUGGGCAAGAGGGAGGGUUUAGUUUUGAGCAGAUAGAUCCAGCUCCUAGUUUGCCUUAGACCCUGGAACACUGGCUUCUUUCAUUCGGCCCUUUAGAGGAGUGGCCCAGAGUAGCCUAGCAGGGACUGAACUCUUUCGGAUGGCUUCCAGAGCAUUGUUCCCAAGACCCUCCCUUCUGCUGACCCUGUGACAUCGGGGCAGGUGGGGAGAGAAGAGGUAGACACUAUCAUUCCCCCAGUCCCAGGUCCCU